AUUGAACGCUGGCGGCAGGCCUAACACAUGCAAGUCGAACGGUAACAGGAAACAGCUUGCUGUUUCGCUGACGAGUGGCGGACGGGUGAGUAAUGUCUGGGAAACUGCCGGAUGGAGGGGGAUAACUACUGGAAACGGUAGCUAAUACCGCAUAACGUCGCAAGACCAAAGAGGGGGACCUUCGGGCCGCUGGCCAUCGGAUGUGCCCAGAUGGGAUUAGCUAGUAGGUGGGGUAACGGCUCACCUAGGCGACGAUCCCUAGCUGGUCUGAGAGGAUGACGAGCCACACUGGAACUGAGACACGGUCCAGGCUCCUACGGGAGGCAGCAGUGGGGAAUAUUGCACAAUGGGCGCGAGCCUGAUGCAGCCAUGCCGCGUGUAUGAAGAAGGCCUUCGGGUUGUAAAGUACUUUCAGCGGGGAUGAAGGGAGUAAAGUUAAUACCUUUGCUCAUUGACGUUACCCGCAGAAGAAGCACCGGCUAACUCCGUG
rnacentral:rRNA from 1 species